UACGUAGGGCGCAAGCGUUUAUCCGGAAUUAUUGGGCGUAAAGAGCUCGUAGGCGGUUUGUCGCGUCUGCCGUGAAAGUCCGGGGCUCAACUCCGGAUCUGCGGUGGGUACGGGCAGACUAGAGUGAUGUAGGGGAGACUGGAAUUCCUGGUGUAGCGGUGAAAUGCGCAGAUAUCAGGAGGAACACCGAUGGCGAAGGCAGAUCUCUGGGCCGUAACUGACGCUGAGGAGCGAAAGCAUGGGGAGCGAACAGG
rnacentral:rRNA from 1 species